UGUGUCCCACUUAAUUGAGCGCUUUGGAGAGAAUCCAUCUUCAGGUGCAAAGGCUCUGCUGGCAUCGUCCAUUGUGGAUCAGUUUCCAUGCCUGAGGGACUGUCAAGGCACAGGCUAUGAUGCAUGGUUCACCCCAGGGAGAAGUCAUAAACCCGCAACAGGCUUUCUGGAAGAGCGUCUCCGCAAUGUCAGAAAAAGGCUCCACUCUGGCAGACGGGUACAUUUAACAUCACAAGUGCCACAACACACCCGGGUCAUUUUGCCAGGUAGCCUACAGCAAUACGUCUUGCUCCUCCAUUUAGAAGUGAAUUUGACUUGUCCUCUACCCUGUUUGUAACGUACUUCUUUCUUCAACUGUAGGAGCC